CCUACGGGAGGCAGCAGUGGGGAAUAUUGCACAAUGGGCGCAAGCCUGAUGCAGCAACGCCGCGUGAGGGACGACGGCCUUCGGGUUGUAAACCUCUUUUAGUAGGGAAGAAGCGAAAGUGACGGUACCUGCAGAAAAAGCACCGGCUAACUACGUGCCAGCAGCCGCGGUAAUACGUAGGGUGCAAGCGUUAUCCGGAAUUAUUGGGCGUAAAGAGCUCGUAGGCGGUUUGUCGCGUCUGCUGUGAAAACUGGAGGCUCAACCUCCAGCCUGCAGUGGGUACGGGCAGACUAGAGUGCGGUAGGGGAGAUUGGAAUUCCUGGUGUAGCGGUGGAAUGCGCAGAUAUCAGGAGGAACACCGAUGGCGAAGGCAGAUCUCUGGGCCGUAACUGACGCUGAGGAGCGAAAGCAUGGGGAGCGAACAGGAUUAGAUACCCUGGUAGUCCAUGCCGUAAACGUUGGGAACUAGAUGUAGGGACCAUUCCACGGUUUCUGUGUCGCAGACUACGACAUUAACGUUACCCGUCCGUCGGGAGGUACGGCCGCGAGACGUAAACUUAAAUAGAAGUAGACGCGNGAGACGUGCGACGACGACGACGAGGGAGGAGG
rnacentral:rRNA from 1 species